rnacentral:misc_RNA from 1 species
UGUGGUCAGCUCCUCUCAAAUGAAUCAGCUUGCCGGUGUUUGGUGGCGUCACAAGUGUGAUAACUAUCUACGCUUGUGGUUUUCCGCCAGAUGACCUUCAGCAAUGGAGGUCCACUGGAGCUCAUAAAUGUCUCUCCCCAGUGAGGACAGCUCUUUGAAUGUUUGAUCUCAAAUCAGGUAGGACUACCCGCUGAACUUAA